GAUGAACGCUGGCGGCGUGCCUAAUACAUGCAAGCCGAGCGAACAGACGAGGAGCUUGCUCCUCUGACGUUAGCGGCGGACGGGUGAGUAACACGUGGAUAACCUACCUAUAAGACUGGGAUAACUUCGGGAAACCGGAGCUAAUACCGGAUAACAUGUUGAACCGCAUGGUUCAACAGUGAAAGACGGUUUUGCUGUCACUUAUAGAUGGAUCCGCGUCGCAUUAGCUAGUUGGUAAGGUAACGGCUUACCAAGGCAACGAUGCGUAGCCGACCUGAGAGGGUGAUCGGCCACACUGGAACUGAGACACGGUCCAGACUCCUACGGGGGGCAGCAGUAGGGAAUCUUCCGCAAUGGGCGAAAGCCUGACGGAGCAACGCCGCGUGAGUGAAGAAGGUCUUCGGAUCGUAAAACUCUGUUAUUAGGGAAGAACAAAUGUGUAAGUAACUAUGCACGUCUUGACGGUACCUAAUCAGAAAGCCACGGCUAACUACGUG
rnacentral:rRNA from 1 species